GACACUGAAGCAGUGAAGCAUAUGUGUUGUGUGUGUUUUUCAGUAGGAGACCAUCAUCUCAAUAGAUUUUCAAGAUUUACAAUUCACCGGGCCCACGGUGCGACCGCUCUCCCACCCCCUCUCCGCCACCCCUCCACCCCACCCCCCCACCCCCGCGACUGGGGUCCGCACGGGAGGGGGCGGGGCAAACUGUCCCCAGUGCGCCCCGGGCGGGUAACGCCAUGGGGCCUGGGGGGUUGGUUUCUCUCAGGCCACACGCGCGUCCCCCGAAGAGGGGACGGCGGAGCGAGCGCACGGGGUUGGCGGCGAUGUCGGCUACCCACCCGACCUGUCUUGAAACACGGACCAAGGAGUCUAACAGGCAGUAAAGAGAAACCAGGCCACACCUUGGAAACUGCUCAGAAAUCAACUCAGGUAAAUAUUCAGUUUCAUCACUCACAAGUUCAACCUUCCACAAAGCACUAGACAACAAUUCCGCCAAGUUCUUUGCCCAUUUAUAACAAGAAUUAUCUUUCCUCCAGUUUCCAGUGAUGCAUUUCUAAUUUCUGCCUGAGACCUCAUCAGAAUCACCUUUAAUGUUCCUAUUUCUACCAACACCCUGUUCAUGAUGAUAUAUGUAUUCUCAAAGGUGAUAGAAGCUUUCACUAUAGCUCUCCUAUUUUUCUUCUGAGGCCUCACCAGAACUGCCUUUAAUUUCCAUAUUUCUUUCUACCAACAGUCCCUUCGAGAAAAUCCAGGCUUUUUCCACCAUACACCUCAAAACUCCUCCAACUCUCCUCUUUACCCAGUCUCAAAGCUACUCCCACAUUUGUAAUUGUUACAGCAGCAUCUCAUUUAACAAUACCAAAAUCUGUAUUAGUUUGCUAGGGUUGCCAUAACAAAAAAUCACAGACUGUGUUACUUGAACAACAAAAAUUCCUGUUCUCCUGAUAUCUAGAGGCUGUAAGUCCAAGGUGCCAACAGGGUUAGAUUCUGAAAAGCCCUCUCUUCCUGGCUUGCAGACGGUUGCCUUCUCACUGUGUCCUUAUAUGGACUUUGAUCUGUGCAUGUGUGAAGAAAGAGGAAUCUUUGGUGUCUCUUCCUCUUCUAAGUUGGACACCAGGCCUGCUGGAUUAAGACCUGUCCUGCUGGGUUAAGACCCAUCCUGCUGGAUUAAGACCAGUCCUGCUGGGUUAAGACCCGUCCUGCCGGAUGUAGACCUGUCCUGCUGGAUGAAGACCCGUCCUGCUGGGUUAAGACCCGUCCUGCUGGAUGAAGACCCGUCCUGCUGGGUUAAGACCCGUCCUGCUGGGUUAAGACCUGUCCUGCUGGAUUAAGACCUGUCCUGCUGGAUUAAGACCCGUCCUGCUGGGUUAAGACCCGUCCGGUCCUUAUUACCUCAUUUAACAUUCAUUACCUCCUUAAAGGCCCUAUUUCCAAAAUAGUCAAAAUAGAGGUUGACUUCAACAAACUGAUUUCAUGGGGACACAAUUCAGUCCAUAUCAGGACCCAAAGAGUGUAUUUAAGAGCUUUGCUUAGGUAUAGAGAGAGAUAAAGGAUGGGCCAGAAGUAGGGCUGGAAUCAUAACCUCCUGAAACUAGAGAGAACUUUUAAGAAGUCAUGCCUUAUCAUUUGGCUUCAGGAAGCAAAUUUCCAGGAAACACAGAAGAGAUUAUUUUCUAUUCUCUUUCCUGAGUGUGGAGAUGCUACAACCACAUUUGAUGGUCUUUCUAAAGUAUAGGACUUCCUUGUGCUAAUAAAAAUCUUUCCUCUUCUCA
rnacentral:lncRNA from 13 species